CCCAAGCAUUAUCCGUCAAGACUGACUCCCUGUUCAGUCAUCUCUACAGCAUUCCCUGCAUUUUUCCUGUUUCCUUGAUUUGGAAAUGCACACCCUCCUUCCUCGGAAUGUCCUGAACAACUGCUCCAGUGUUUCUGAACUUACUCAUCUUUGCGUUCACCAGCUGGACGCCAAAGAGUCAAUACAGACGUGAGUAACAGGAGGAAGUGACUUGCCUUCCUUUAAUGCAACAAACCCAGUGACCUAAUUUUUCCUUCUUCUUCCUGUUUAUUCCUCCAUGAUGUCCAGGAUGCACCAGACGUGCUGUGCCAGUAUUUUAUGGUGACUGCCAGAAUGCAAAUAAUUAACAAGCAAAUACACUCUCAGAAGUGAGAUAAAGAGAUCUUAAAGUCACCAUGAAAUCAAAAUGGACAACUGUUUUUUUUUCUUUUAAACAGUAUUUAUUAUAAAUGAUUUAUCUGUACACAUGAGUAUUUUUUUUUUUUUUAAAUUCAUGUGCCUUCAUAAUCUUUAAUCAAAAUAACUUCCCCUCCCUUU